AACAAGGAAGUCCAGAGAUGCUGUGAAGAGCCUUGGUGUUUGGGGUUUGGCUGGCAUCCUCUGCUGAUCUCUGAGGAGAGUUGUGAAUUCCUGUGAGGAACUGGCUCAGAGAGGACCUGCUUCCCUUGCCUCUCACGUCUUAUGUUGAUCAAGGGCUUCCGGCUGUGUUGGCAGGUGUCACAGAGGAAGGAGGAUCACGGAUGUGUGAGCGCCACAUGACUUAGUCGGGGAAAUGGAUCAAAUCCAGGCUGGGUUGCCAAGGAAGCCAGAGUAGAGGCUGUCGGAAGGAUGGGUUUGAAUGAACUUUGGCUGCUCCACACGCAGGCUGAUUACUGAGGAAACAUCAAAAGCUUCACCCGAAUGACUCAUCACCCAGAUCCAACAGAGGAACAGAAUUUGGGGGUGGUAAAAAAAGUCAAUAAAACACACUGCCCAAAGGAUUUUCAAGCUUGAGGAUGGGAGAGUGUAAAGGAGCAAUCGUGUAAACAAUAAAUGACGAUAUAAAGAAGAAUGAGAAGUAAUGAUCAAAAGGAGAUCAUUAAGAGGAUGUAACCUCUAGUUGACCUGAGGGCUGAAUCUGGGCAAUAGGAACCUCUUCAGCCCCUCCCCUUGGAAUGUAUGUCCUGCGCACUGUUUCCUACAGCUGGAGCUGUUGUCAAGGAUGCAACUUUGAAAGAGCAACCUGUUGUUGAGGCCAUUGAUGGUACAUGUGACUGAACUAGGACUUGAACAGUAUUGUGAAGCUUGUCAGUGAUAACUUCAUCCCAUGUAAUGCUGACUAUUUGGUGGUUACAUGGCUGUUCCAGGUGAUCAACCCAAGCUCCUCAACCUGGAGUCCCAGUAAAGGCAACUAUUUGCCUGAGUGAAGACUCAGAGUGAAGAGAAAUGUGCCUUUUGCUGAUAAUGUACCUGAAGGGUGAUGAAGGCUUUCCACAUCACUAGGCCCACGUGCAACAAGUAAGCAGGCAUAGUCUUUCUGGAAGAGGAGCACGGGCACCUGCUUGCUAAUUUCCCUCACUACCAAGAAACCUGAAUCAUCACCAGAGACCCCAAACAUAGGAUUUUGAAAACAACAAAGUAGAUGAGAGCAGAGAAAAGGAGGGACAGAUGCACAAUGGGAGAGAAAGAAAGAACAAAAGGGACAGGAGGGGCAAGAUACAUCUGGCUGUGCCUGAAGCAAGAACUACUGUUGGAUUUUUUACUAACAUGAGCCAAUCACUUCUGUUGACUUUAACCAUCUAUACAAAAUCACAGAAGACUGGCAUAUGGAGGUUAACUCAAGGGAUUUGGGGAGAACUUUCUCCUCCAUUAAAAUUUUGAGAAAGAUA